GUGGUAGCUCUUUCCUACAUGUGGUGGUAGUUUUCACACUCCUUUUAGGAUGUAACUCUUUCCACAUCUUUUACAUAUAGGAGUUUCUUUUUCUCCUUUUUUUUAUUUUUAAACAAUUUCAAACUCCCCCUAAAUUAGACAAUCUCACAGUUGAAAAUAAUUUUGACGAAUUUUAGUCAAUUAGAGAAUAUCCAUUCAUCAUAUCCAACACUCACAACCAAGAUGAAUUAAUCACCAAAAAAUCAAAUUUGAUUUCAAAAUUUUGAUGAAUAUAUGCAAUAAGAAAUCAUAUAAUAUAUUAUCGUCAAAAUAAUAAAUAGUGGAGUAAAGACGAUAAUUAAUAUGAAUUUACCUUAAUAUGAUCUUGAAGAUAAAACCCAUUUAAACAAAUUUUUUUUAAAAAAAAAACUUUCUCUCCAAAAAACGAUUCUUAAUCAUCUCCUUUCCUCAAAAAUAAUAUUUAACCAAACAAAAUUCAAAGCACCAAGAAUC
rnacentral:lncRNA from 1 species